rnacentral:rRNA from 1 species
UACGUAGGGUGCGAGCGUUAAUCGGAAUUACUGGGCGUAAAGGGUGCGCAGGCGGUUCUGCAAGUCAGGCGUGAAAUCCCCGGGCUUAACCUGGGAAUUGCACUUGAAACUACGGGACUGGAGUCUGGCAGAGGGGGGUGGAAUUCCGCGUGUAGCAGUGAAAUGCGUAGAGAUGCGGAGGAACACCGAUGGCGAGGGCAGCCCCCUGGGCCAAGACUGACGCUCAGGCACGAAAGCGUGGGGAGCAAACAGG